rnacentral:rRNA from 1 species
UUCAUUAGGGAUGGGGUAGGUUUUGGUUCUUGUUAACAAUGGACAAAAUUGAAGCCACGAACAAGGGGGAAUUAUCCGAUUAUCUCGAAACAUAGCAUCCCUUUAUAGAUUUUGUGCAGAGUAAUUCCCUGCACUGCAUCAUAGGCUUCAAUUCAUGUGAGUGACUCCACAUAAUUCUCCUGAGAUGGGUGGGAGCUUGGUUGUGGGCGCCCCCACUGAUCAGCCUCUGCCCCAGCAUUGGUUGUGCCCCCACAGAUGGAUACAUAUCCCCCCCACCCUUGAGUAUGUCCCCUUGUGGGAGGAAGAGUAGUCGAUGCAAGAACCCAAUGGUGCUGUUAGGAAAACAUUUUUAAUGGUUUAUUUUGUAUUCUGGUUCAGCCACGGUCAUUUGCUAUGGAAAAGCCCUAUUACAGUCUCAUAUGUCGAGUUUGUUCUUACGGCAGGCCACACCCGGAGCGAACUGAGUUAUAUUGGCUUAAUUGGUCACUGCUGUAAAGGGCCUUAUGUGUCUUUUGUACUUGCUGUGAAUUGCAUGCCUCAUCUUUAUGGGUUGUCUUUUGCCUUGUUAAAAUUAACAAAACGUUCAUGGAAAUACAAAAAUGAAGACAGACUCCCGGCAUCACUCUGGGGGCCAAGUCCUUCAGAUCGAGGCUCACCCGGCAGACGGUGUUAGGUCGGGAUUGGGUCUUCUCUGAGUUGGGUUGCUUGGGAAUGCAGCACAAAGUGGGUGGUAAACUCCAUCUAAGGCUAAAUAUGGAGCAAGGCCGAUAGCCAACAAGUACAAAAAGGGAAAGUUGGAAAGAACUUUGAAGAGAGUUCAAGUGGGCGUGAAACCGUCAAGAGUUAAACAAGUUGAGUCCAUACAUCCGCCCAGGGAUUCAACACUGCGGGCAGGGAGAUCACCUGGAACGCUGAACCGCUACACGGGCGCACCCGGCCAACGCAGGAUGUAUUUCCUCUGUGAUCGUGCGCCACCACUGUCUCCAAGUCAGCUGGGUAGGACCCUGGGGCAGGUGGCUCUAUUACAGCAACAGUUUCACUGUGUCCAAGGGACCAAUGGAGAUUUGACUGCCCUGGCGCCUCUCAGGGGCCACUGGGGCAGCAACAGGGAACAGGUGCGACUGUCGGCUGGGGUAGACUGUCCUCAUCUCACCCGCUCUGUGGGGAGGUGGAGGAUGUGCAAUAGGACUCGAAAGAGGGUGAUCCAUGCCUUGGGCAGGGCAAAGUCAUAGGAAACUCUGGUGGAGAUCCGUACCGGUCCUGACGUACAAAUCGGUCCUCCAACCUGGUUAUAGGGGUGAAAUACUAAUCGAACCAUGCAGUAGCUGGUUUGCUCCGAAGUUUCCCUCAGGAUAGCUGGUGCUGGGAAACCCCAGUUUUAUCUGGUAAAGCAAAUGAUUAAAGGUUGCGGGGUUGAAUAUCUCAACCUAUUCUCAAACUUCAAAUGGGUAAGGCGCCUGGCUCGCUGCCGUGGAGCCGGGCAUCAACUGCGAGUACCCAGUGGGCCACGUUUCGUAAGCAGAACUGGCACGGUGGGAUGAAUCGAAUGCCGGGUUAAGGCACACGAUGCGCAUCAGACCCAGAAAAGGGGUUGGUUGAUACAGACAGCAGGAAGGUGAACAGCCUCUAGAAUUUUGGAACAAUGUAGGUAAGAGAAUUAGGCAAGUCAGAUCCGUAACUUCGGGAUAAGAUUUGGCUCUAAGGGCUGGGUCGAUCGGGCUGGCUGGGGCAUGAAGCAGGGAUGGGUGUGCGAUGAGGCGGCCCCCUCCCUCCCCCGGGUGAGGUGCCGACGCUGGAUGCGUACCGGGCCCUUCCUGUGUAUCACCCCAGCUGCAGUGGUCACAUCUCUCCGUUCCCCUCCCGGGGUUCCGGGGCGGCGCUCUGCCUCGGCCAACGCCUAAUGGUGUAUGCUUUUAUUGUUAUUUGUUAGUGCAAAUGUUUGAUAGUAUAAUUUUCAGAUGGAUAUUUACUGAGCGGUGUACUUAUCCAUCCUUCUUGUGCUUUAUCAGUCACCAAUAGUGUCUAUUCAGGUGUAAUCUAUCAUGUUGGUGCAGGUUUCGAUUUGACACUGAUGGGCAGCAAUUGUAACCCAGAAUGAGCCACUUCAAAAAAGUGGUGCAAGUAGCCAAAUACCUUGUCAGCUAAUUAGUGAUGCGCAAAAUCAGCAGGGAAAGAAUACUGCAUUAAGCUUGACUCUAGUCUGACAAAGUCAAGAGACAUCAGAAGUGCAUGAUAAGUGGGAGGCCCUCUGACGCCGGUAAAAUACCACUACUCUUAUUAUUUUUUCAUUUACACAGUGGGGUGGGGGUGAUCCUCGUGGGGCUCUCGCUUCUAACUCCAAGCAGCCGCUGACCGCAAUGGGGACAGUGGCAGGUGGGGAGUUUGACUGAGGCGGCACAUCUGUCAAACAAGAACGCAGGUGUCCUAAGGUGAGUGCAGGAAGACAGAAACCUUCCACGGAGCAGAAGGCCAAAAGCUUGCUUGAUCUCCAUGUUGCAGUAUGAAAACAGACUAUGAAAGCAGGGCCUUACGAUCCUUCUGACUUUUUAGUUUCAAGCAGGAGGUGUCAGAAAGGUUAUCACAGGGAUAACUGGCUUGAGGCGGACAAGUGUUCAUAGCGAUAUCGCUUUUUGAUCCUUCAAUGUCGGCUCUUCCCAUCAUUGUGAACCAAAUUUCACCAAGCGUUGGAUCGUUCAACCACUAAUAGGGAACGUGAGCUGGGUUUAGACUGUCGUGAGAAAGAUUCAUUUUACCCGGCUGAUGAUGUGCCGUUGCAAUGGUAAUCCUGCUCAGUACAAGAGGACCCACAGGUUCAGACAUUUGGUGUAUGUGUUUGGCUGAGGAGCCAAUGUGGUGAAGCUACCGUCUGAGGGAUUAUGACUGAAUGCCUCAAACUCAGAAUCCACCCUAAACCGCAACUAUACCGCAGUGCUGUAGAGCCUUGGUUGGCCUCAGACAGCCAGCCGCUUGGCCGGUGCGCAGAGUCGCUUGCCUCAGGACUCUAGUGUGGACAGAAGGAGGCCACCUCUCUCGUCCGUAGUGCACCGCAUGUUCGUGGGGAACCCGAUUCUAAAUCAUGCAUAGACAACCUGAUUCUGGGUCAGGGUUUGGUAAGUAACAGAGCAGUGGCCUUGCUGCGAUCUAUUGCAAGUCAUUCUCUGGGCCAAGCUUUUGUC